GACGGGGCCCGCACAAGCGGAGGAACAUGUGGUUUAAUUCGAUGAUACGCGAGGAACCUUACCUGGGCUUAAAUGGGGAGUGACAGCUGUCGAAAGAUGGUUUUCUUCGGACACUCUUCAAGGUGCUGCAUGGUUGUCGUCAGCUCGUGCCGUGAGGUGUCGGGUUAAGUCCCAUAACGAGCGCAACCCUUACCGUUAGUUACCAUCAGGUUAAGCUGGGGACUCUAGCGGGACUGCCACCGUAAGGUGAGAGGAAGUGGGGAUGACGUCAAAUCAGCACGGCCCUUAUGUCCAGGGCUACACACGUGUUACAAUGGCCAGUACAAAGGGCAGCUACCGGGUGACCGGAUGCUAAUCUCUAAAGCUGGUCUCAGUUCGGAUCGAAGUCUGCAACCCGACUUCGUGAAGCUGGAUUCGCUAGUAAUCGCGCAUCAGCCAUGGCGCGGUGAAUACGUUCCCGGGCCUU
rnacentral:rRNA from 1 species